UUUUUUUUUUUUUUUUUUUUUUUUUUUUUUUUUUUUUUUUUUUUA
rnacentral:ribozyme from 1 species